CGAUCCUGGGGGAGGGGGCUUCCAAAGAUCGAUCCAAAAUCGAGCAGACAGCGUUUGGAUCAUUAAGGUGCUCAUAACAGAAUAGAGCUGUCCCUGCGGUUUUUGAAACAGAAAAGUUUCUGUGGUUUUUAAAAAUAAUUUUCCAAGGAAUUCAUCUUUAUUCAUGUCCAUUUGUUCACUUCACAAGUAAUUCUUAAGUGCCUGUUGGCUACUAAGUGUUAUCCUGUUGCUGUAGAAUACAAACGUUCCAAAACCAGGCUCUGCACCCCGGGAGUUUGUUGUUACCACUGUCCUUUGUAUUAUUUACUCUAUUUAGUGCUUACCAGGUGCCAGAGUCUCGUAGAGCUUAUAAUGAUCAUUGUUAUUUUGUAUUGGCAUUUGUUCCAGUCACCGUAAGUUCCCGGUGAGGAAUCCGAGUUUUCAAAGACUGGGUAGAAUCUACGGAGGAGAUAAGAAUGCUGAGGAAGACUCUAUAACCAGGCUUUCUGACAAACCUGGUCCUGAUGAUUCAUGGGCUACAUCAGCUAGCCAAGACUUAGAUUUUGGUACCAAGAAUGUCCCGAAACCACGCGUAGCAAAGCUACUGCAUUCUUCUUGGCAAUUCGUGAAAAACAAGAGCAAAACGUGGCACUGUGAAACCAGAAGGGGGAACGUUAUCUGAGGACAACAGUCCUGAUUCUGAAAAUAAAGAUAUGGCUGAAACUCUUUCCAAACCACCAGUCAGAGUUUAUGGCGUGCCUCUUCCUGUUUUACCAUCAUCUAAAUCUCUUCUGAAACCUUCUCUCAAGAUUUUAGCUGUCCUUGGUCUUGCAAAGGAACCAGGCAAUGAUAUCACCUCAUCUCUCAGAGAUUCCAACAAGCAAUCCAUCAAGAAGACCAAGUUAUGUCCUCUGGUCACAGAUGGGUAAACUGAGGCUUAAUAGCACAGCCUGGGGUCACUAGUAAGACAAGCUAGGUGAGGCUCCCCACUGCCUUGACUUUGGAUUGUCCUAACCUCAGGCCUGCACCUCAUCAUUCUGGAACUCAGGUCCCUCCUCCUUGGGCACCCCAUCCUCCUGCCAUAAGGUCCCUCUGAACACAGGGGAGCAGAGCUAACCCAUCUGCCUGGGACCUGACAUGGUGGCUGGGGAAGGGAGGACCCUGGGCUCUGUAGGCUAUCCGUGUACUGGACCACCUGGGCUCUGUGGUCUCUCCCAGCAACAGACCGGCUGGGGUCCAUGGACUCUCCUGGUACUGGACAGCUGCUCCCUCAGGUCAGGACUUCUCACUGUGGAUCUCCUGGGGCUUGGUUUCCUUAUUUUGUCACCUGGGCUGCUGUCCCCAGACCAUAAACCUGGCCAUCUGAGGGUGACCAGCACUGCCCCCUUAGGGUUUCAUUUUCCGGAAGUCCUGCCAGGAACAUCCCACAUCUCUGACAACUGCUCUCCAUGGAGGUCGCCUCCCCUUGGACUUGCAUGUAUUUGCUCUUCAUCCCAGGAACACCAUGACUUUGGAGCAUUUUGGGAACAGAGGCCUGUGAAACCUGUCUCUGGACUUGGGCUGUGAGGAAUGAUUUCCCCCCUGUGGUGUCCCUGCCCAGCUUCCUGCAUUCCUCUCUUUCUGUUUUUGCCACAGGAGGAACAGCCAUGUUCUGUCUGGCAUCAGGCUGUGGUGUCACAGAAGGAACAUGGGUCUCUACCCCAAGGUUAUGACCAUUUAUACCAAAGGAGUCUCAUUUUUUCACGUUUUUCCAAUUUUUAAUCCAUUGUGGAUUUCAAUAUCAAAUGAGAAAAAAUCUAUUUCAAAUAUACACAAAAUACAAAAGUUAAUCUGUUCCAUCUUAGAAUGUGUGGGCAGAGACAAAGACAUCUAUUGCGAGGUUCCAGGUAUAGGAAACAUCCAGAGUAGGUAAGGAAAAGAGAGAGAAUGGAGAUUAGUGGUUCCCAGAGGCUGGGGGUGGGGGUGGGGGGCAAUGGGGAAUGAGGGCUCUGGGUACAUGGUGUCCCUUGGGGACUGAGAUAUUCUGCAACAAUAUUGUGUGCUGUGGUUGCAGAGGGUUGUGAGUGUACUCAAUGCCCAGGAAUUGUACAAUUUCAAUCAUGUAAACAACUUUUUAAAUUAAUAAUAAAGACUAUACAAAACACAAAA